ACGCUGGCGGCAGGCCUAACACAUGCAAGUCGAGCGGUAGAGAGAAGCUUGCUUCUCUUGAGAGCGGCGGACGGGUGAGUAAUGCCUAGGAAUCUGCCUGGUAGUGGGGGAUAACGUUCGGAAACGGACGCUAAUACCGCAUACGUCCUACGGGAGAAAGCAGGGGACCUUCGGGCCUUGCGCUAUCAGAUGAGCCUAGGUCGGAUUAGCUAGUUGGUGGGGUAAUGGCUCACCAAGGCGACGAUCCGUAACUGGUCUGAGAGGAUGAUCAGUCACACUGGAACUGAGACACGGUCCAGACUCCUACGGGAGGCAGCAGUGGGGAAUAUUGGACAAUGGGCGAAAGCCUGAUCCAGCCAUGCCGCGUGUGUGAAGAAGGUCUUCGGAUUGUAAAGCACUUUAAGUUGGGAGGAAGGGCAGUUGCCUAAUACGUAACUGUUUUGACGUUACCGACAGAAUAAGCACCGGCUAACCCUGUGCCAGCAGCCGCGGUAAUACAGAGGGUGCAAGCGUUAAUCGGAAUUACUGGGCGUAAAGCGCGCGUAGGUGGUUUGUUAAGUUGGAUGUGAAAUCCCCGGGCUCAACCUGGGAACUGCAUUCAAAACUGACUGACUAGAGUAUGGUAGAGGGUGGUGGAAUUUCCUGUGUAGCGGUGAAAUGCGUAGAUAUAGGAAGGAACACCAGUGGCGAAGGCGACCACCUGGACUGAUACUGACACUGAGGUGCGAAAGCGUGGGGAGCAAAC
rnacentral:rRNA from 1 species